UCUCUUAAAGGAAAAAGAGAAAUCCCGUGCUGUGAUGGAAAACAACCAACAAGGCAGACAGCAAGAGAGCAGCAGAGCGACCUCCCCUCUUCUCUGAAGACGCUCCCUCAAGAGACAGAAAAAGAAUAAGGAUUUGGAGAGGUCCAAGAGCAGUACUCAGAAAGACAUUCCACUGCUUAAGGCAAGGAAGGUGGUAUCGCAGCUAAGGGUGGAAAAAGGACCUUCCUAAGAGCUGGGCUGGAGCAGCACAGGACCAUAUGACCCUGCGGCCGUGCCUGGCUAGGACGAGAUGGUCUCCGGAGAGAAAAGGGGGAGAGGAGCUGCUGGGAUCACUAGGGUGCCCUGCCUUGCAGGCCCCGCAGCACCCCUUGCUUAGGUGCUUUAUUUCCUUCCAGAGCACUGCUUGUCACAGUGGUAACUGUCUCUCUCUUGCAAAGGACUAGGAUUUGUGCACAUUUACYCAAACCCCAGCGUGGCCUAGAGUGUUUCUGGCCUAGAACAGGUUCUAAGCAGCACAACUGUGUUCAUUAGAACUGUCACAGAGAACACCACCUGUGGGCAGCUCAGCAGAUGGAAUCAGAGCGGGGAGUUAAACAGGGAAAAGGAUGUUAGAAGCCCUGGCUGCUCCUCAUGAAAGAGCAAUACAGUUGCGUGACUGUGACAGAGAACAGCAGGUAACAAGCAGUACAGAAGGGCAUGUUGGCAGACACAUUAUAAAAGGUAUCAUUUACAAUUAAAAUGAACUUUCUUGCAUCCUGAAACUUCAAGAAUUAACUAAUGAAACUGGUCUGUUUAGCUUUAAAGGUCAUUUUGCACCAUGCUUCUGUGAGAACAUGGAAGGUAAUUAAAAACCAAGCACAAAAGUGUGGGACUGUUUGGGUAGAGGAGUUAUGAUGUGUUUCAGCUGACAGCACGCUGCGCUCCAAAGGCAAACGCAGCUUUCAACUCCCAGGACUGCCUUUCAAAGCUUUGCUGUGAAGACCAUUAAAAAAUGCAAAUGACAAAGCCAUGAAGAAAAAUAGCAGGAAAAUCAGUUUAACUACAUUUAAGAAAUAAGGAAGCGAUAAGUAACUGCCAAUACAGCUCCACAGCCUCAUGGAUACAGUGGAUGUUUCCCUACUGGUAAUAUACAUUUUCUAAAUGACUACAAUCCACUAAGCAUCUGCUAACAGUAAAAACAUUCUCUAGGUUUCUAUUUGCAAACACUUGUUGCAAUACACCAUUUUUAAGCUUUCUUAAAUGUAGACAAUAGGCAGCCUGCAGUUGCUUCAUAACAAGUAUGUACAUGAGCAAGAGGCAACCCAGUUCCAUAAGAGAAAACAGUCCCUCACUGCUGCAGUCUGUUAAAAGGGCUCCCGUGCUGAGGCUUCCAGCAGCAACGAGCGGGACCAGAAAAGCAGUUUCCAGCUGAUUUCCCUUUAUCCCCAAUCUCUAAUUACAGCAUUUAGCAGCAACUGUUCUCUGAAUGAAUAGCACGUCCUAGACAGAGACUGAAUCUUGCAGCAACUGCAGUAACAAAUCAUGAAUGAUUUGUGUAUUUAAUAUGUGAAGUUGCACUCUGCUCUCUGAAUGCUUUAUGUACUAAUAUUAUUAUAGCUUCAGAUUUUGCUUGUUGUAUUUCUAGAUUCUCCUUUAUUUUUGUGUUGUGCUUGUAUAUCUGACAUCUCUUUAUCUAGUCCUACUGUUUUUGACAGCUUUUCCACAAAGUAAGAGGAAAAAGCUGACACGUUAAAAUGUAAAAGCAAAACCAGAAAGGAGAUGUGUGACAACUGAGCAGUUUUGAGGAAAUCACCUCUCUCUUCC